UCAUUUAAAGUUUUGAUCUUUGUUAGAUAUAUGUUGUGUUUGUGUUUUUUGUUUGGUUGAGUUUGAUUGGAAUAACAAGGUAGAGGUAGAGGUAGAGGUAAAGGUAGAGGUAAGGUUUGCGUAUAAACUGUAUUAUGUGGAUCCCACUUGUGGGAUAAUAGUGAGUUUUUUGUUGUUGUUUGGUUGGUUGAGUUUGAUUCUAAUGAUUAUGUGACAUUGGCGGAGUUAGGAUUUUGAGUUGAUGGAUUUUGGAUUGUAGGCGGAGCUUGGAUUUUGAGUUGAUGGGUUUUGGAUUAUAGGUGGAGCUAGGAUUUUGAGUUGAUGGAUUAUGUAUUAUAGGGUGAGUUAGGAUUUUGAGUUGAUGGAAUUUGGAUUAUAGGCGGAGUUAGAAUUUUGAGUUGAUGGAUUCUGGAUUAUAGGUGGAGCUAGGAUUUUGAGUUGAUGGAAUUUGGAAUAACAAGGUAGAGGUAGAGUUAGAAGGUAGAGGUAAGGUUUGCGUAUAAACUGUAUUAUGUGGAUCCCACUUGUGGGGUAAUAGUGAGUUUGUUGUUGUUGUUUGGUUGGUUGAGUUUGAUUCUAAUGAUUAUGUGACAUAGGCGGAGUUAGGAUUUUGAGUUGAUGGAUUUUGGAUUAUAGGCGGAGCUAGGAUUUUGAGUUGAUGGGUUUUGGAUUAUAGGCGGAGCUAGGAUUUUGAGUUGAUGGAUUCUGGAUUAUAGGAUGAGCUAGGAUUUUGAGUUGAUGGAAUUUGGAUUAUAGGCGGAGUUAGGAUUUUGAGUUGAUGGAUUAUGUAUUAUAGGGUGAGCUAGGAUUUUGAGUCGAUGGAAUUUGGAUUAUAGGCGGAGUUAGGAUUUUGAGUUGAUGGAUUCUGGAUUAUAGGUGGAGCUAGGAAUUUGGAUUAUAGGCGGAGCUAGGAUUUUGAGUUGAUGGAAUUUGUUUUAUAGGCGGAGCUAGGAUUUUGAGUUGAUGGAUUUCGAAUUAUAGGUGGAGCUAGGAUUUUGAGUUGAUGGAAUUUGGAUUAUAGGCGGAGCUAGGAUUUUUAGUUGAUGGAUUAUGGAUUAUAGGCGGAGUUAGGAUUUUGAGUUGAUGGAUUAUGGAUUAUAGGCGGAGCUAGGAUUUUGAGUUGAUGGAUUAUGGAUUAUAGGGUGAGCUAAGAUUUUGAGUUAAUGGAUUCUGGAUCAUAAGCAGAGCUAGAAUUUUGGAUUAUAGGCGGAGCUAGGAUUUUGGAUUAUAGGCGGAGCUAGAAUUUUGAGUUGAUGGAUUCUGGAUCAUAGGCUGAGCUAAAUUAGUUUUGAAACCAACCGAUCAUAGGCUGAGCUAAUAGUUCUCAAAACUCUUAACACUACUACGUUGUUCUGUUUUCAUUUGCAAUAUUGAUGAAUCGAAGAUAAACCCCUUGUGAUUCUCUGUAUGUCGUUCAGUUAACCUGAUGCGCCAAUGGCUCAUACGUUUAACUUUUUAUGCAAAUUGCAACGGUUUUUCCACGUUCGAUGUGAGGAUGCAAUCUUUAUCACGACUUACAUGGCACAUAAUCCGCCCUUCGAACUCUCGUUCUUUUUAAGAAGUUGAGAUUCCCUCUGAUCUACUAAACAUAGUUCAAAUGCAUUACAUUAUAUUCCAGUAUAGUGCUUUUCAAUUUAUUACAUUGAUUACUUGAGGAAAUGGAGAAAGCGGAUCACUCACAUUAUACUUGAAAU